rnacentral:rRNA from 1 species
GGCGACGAUCCCUAGCUGGUCUGAGAGGAUGACCAGCCACACUGGAACUGAGACACGGUCCAGACUCCUACGGGAGGCAGCAGUGGGGAAUAUUGCACAAUGGGCGCAAGCCUGAUGCAGCCAUGCCGCGUGUGUGAAGAAGGCCUUCGGGUUGUAAAGCACUUUCAGCGGGGAGGAAGGCGUUAAGGUUAAUAACCUUAGCGAUUGACGUUACCCGCAGAAGAAGCACCGGCUAACUCCGUGCCAGCAGCCGCGGUAAUACGGAGGGUGCAAGCGUUAAUCGGAAUUACUGGGCGUAAAGCGCACGCAGGCGGUCUGUCAAGUCGGAUGUGAAAUCCCCGGGCUCAACCUGGGAACUGCAUUCGAAACUGGCAGGCUAGAGUCUUGUAGAGGGGGGUAGAAUUCCAGGUGUAGCGGUGAAAUGCGUAGAGAUCUGGAGGAAUACCGGUGGCGAAGG